GUGAAGUGCGGGCCAGGUGGCGAGGUAAGACGUGGGAGGCAAGCGUGAGACGGAAUCAUUGGGUUUAAAGGGUGCGGAGUCUGCCGUAUAUGUCAGGGGUGAAAGUUUUUGGCUUAACUAAAAAAUGGUCAUUGAUAAUGUAGGUGUUGAAUUAGUGUGAAGUAACUAGAAUAUGUAGUGUAGCGGUGAAAUGCUUAGAUAUGACAUGGAAUACCAAUUGCGAAGGCAGGUUACUAACAAUAUAUUGACGCUGAUGGACGAAAGCGUGGGUAGCGAAAAGGAUUAGAUACGCGAUAGUC
rnacentral:rRNA from 1 species